rnacentral:rRNA from 1 species
AUUGAACGCUGGCGGCAGGCUUUACACAUGCAAGUCGAACGAGUGGCGGACGGGUGAGUAAUAUAUGGGAAACUGCCUGGUAGCGGGGGAUAACUACUGGAAACGGUAGCUAAUACCGCAUACCAUCAGAUCUGCCCAUAUGGGAUUAGCUAGUUGGUGGGGUAAAGGCUCACCAAGGCGACGAUCCCUAGCUGGUGUGAGAGGACGACCAGCCACACUGGAACUGAGACACGGUCCAGACUCAUACGGGAGGAAGCAGUGGGGAAUAUUGCAAAAUGGGCGAAAGCCUGAUGCAGCCAUGCCGCGUGUAUGAAGAAGGCCUUCGGGGUGUAAAGUACUUUCAGCGGAGAGGCGUUACCCGCAGAAGAAGCACCGGCUAACUCCGUGCCAGCAGCCGCGGUAAUUC